ensembl:lncRNA novel transcript, sense intronic to NOX5
GUUUUUUUUUUUUUUUUUUUUUUUUGCCACGAUGUUGAUGAUGGCGAUGACAAUAUUAAUAAUAGCAGCAGCUAACCCUGAUUGAGCCCUUCCCACUCUUCAAGCCCUAUUCUAGGCUUUACAAGUAUGAACACUUUAAAAUCAAACAGCCCUUUGGGGAAGGAAUUAGUAUCACUCUAGUUUUAUAAAUGAGGAAGCUGAGGCACAAAGAGGUAAAGCAAUUUUCUCUCUCAGUGUCAAGAGUGGUAAGUAUUGGAGCCAUAAUUUAAGUCAGGCCGUCUGACUUCAGAGUUUAUGCUCUCAAAGACUUUAUUAAACUGCCUUUAAUGUAUAUUAACAUAAUGGUUAACAUUAUUACACCAUUUACAGAUCAAGGAACUGCAUCCUGAUGAGAUUAAGCAAGGUCACAAGGCUAGUAACAAGCAAAAUUAGAUCUCAAACCCGAGUGUCUGACUCCAAAGCCCAUGCUCUUAAACACUAGGUGUGCCUCUUUCUUGUCAUAAUAACUUCCUCACCUUAGACUUGCUAAAAAUAAAUCUCCAACAGAGAGCUAAAAAAGCUGUAUUUCUAACUAGCACACAAGUUUAAAAAUCACUAUCAGUGGUCAAAGUUAAGGUACUUUGGAAUCAAACAGUAUAGAGCGUGGGAUCCUGGGCCUAUCACGUAACCUCUUUAAGCCUCAUUUCUCUAACACAGGGAUAGUAAUUAUGUGUAAUGAGAGCUCGCAUGUGUUAACUGCUUACUGCUACCCAAGCCCAGUGCUUCAUGGGCAUGACCACGUUUGAUUGAAGUACCCAUCUCAUCAGGUUGUAGUGAGAGUUAAGUGGGUAACACAAGCAACUUGCUGCCACAGUAUCUGCAGCCAGUAGACACCCAAGAAGUGUCGACUGGCUACUGUGAGGACUCUUGGCCCUUUUUGUGUUCACCUCCCUUCUGGGUAGGAAGCUUCCUACACCUAUGAUGUGUGUCUUACUGAUUUUUGUGUCUCUCCAGAGUCUGCCUCGUAGCUGGUCUCCAAUCAGUCUGUAUAAAUCUGUUGACAUGAAUGUCAAAGUGCAUCCUCUGCUAGGCUUUGUGACCCCUGAGGGUUUUCAGGCUGACAUGAGCCUCUUGCCAGAUUUGUUCACACUGUUCCCAAAUUCUCCCCUGAAUAGUAGCAAUACAUACAUAUUGUACAUACAUACAACACACACAUACGUACAUUCAGUGAUGAUGUUUCUGCUUUAGGGUUAAGGGGCAGUGUGGGUUGAUUUUUGAAGGUUUUGCAGAUAAGAAUGGACAAUUUGGGCGGCUUGGACAAACCACUGUCACAAUAUCAUAUAAAGGAGGCUGAGAUGAUCGUGGCCAAGGUUCCAGAGAGUGCUUAGAUGGGAGACCUCCCUGGCUUAGUCACCUGCAUUUGAUUUCUCACAGAGGCUCAUCUUGCUAUGGGAGUGCUUCUCUUGCUGUCACCUAUAAAAUGGGGUAACCAUUGCCUUCCACAUCAAGGGGUGGCUUGAAGACCAAACCAAAUGAUCGCAUGCUCAUGGAGGCUUUUGUCAACCAUUAAGCUCUGCAUCAGCGCAAGACGUGGGUCAGAUGGGGGUUUUAGUUCUCAGGAAGGAGGUGGUUUCUUCCCACUGUGGAGGCUUCCUCUCCCAGGACUCAGGGCCGCACCUUCUCUAGGUUCUCUCCUCCUGCUUCUCUGUCAUUCAGCUUAAGCCGGGCUGAGCAACUUAACUUGCUUCUGAAUCUUUUCAGACCCAUGUUCCUUAUCCUUGCCCCCUGCUUGCAGAUUCUUAGCUAAGCUUUUAACUUUUCUACCUCAGUCUUUCUGGUGUUCCGGAUUCUACUCCAGCAGCGCCCUGCAUCCUCUGGUAAGUUUCAUUUGGCAAUCUUGGGCAGGGACCACUGCCUGAGCAUGCAGCCAUCUUGGGGCAGGAGUCUAUUCUUGUCUUCCUUUAUUAAAAACAUGCGUGCCAAAAACAUGCAUGCCACUCACCUCCUGGAGCAUUCUGUCACAUGUCUUGUCUCAGGCCAACAAAAUCCCACCCUUCAUAAGAAUUUGAUUUCUUUUCUGACCUCAUGUCAUUCCAUAAACAUGAUUUUCUGGUCCCUUGGGGACCCUCUGAAUAUCUCCAGCUAGGGGGGAUCUAACCCAAACUACUGGAAAACACAGCCUGCUGCUGACACUAAGAGCUACUUCUCAGGAAGCUGCAAGUGACACAUAUGUGCAACACCUCAGUGAAGUCCCUGGCAGGUCACACAGGAGAGCUCUGCUCCCUGCCACUUCACUUCCAAGCCCCGGGAAAGUGUUUGAGGAGCAGGGACUGUCUGAGCCCAAGCUAAGCCAUCAUAUCCCCUGUAACCUGCACGUAUACAUCCAGAUGGCCUGAAGCAACUGAAGAUCCACAAAAGAAGUGAAAACAGCCUUAACUGAUGACAUUCCACCAUUGUGAUUUGUUUCUGCCCCAUCCUAACUGAUCAAUGUACUUUGUCAUCUCCCCCACCAUUAAGAAGGUUCUUUGUAAUCUCCCCCACCCUUAAGCAGGUUCUUGGUAAUUCUCCCCACCCUUGAGAAUGUACUUUGUGAGAUCCACCCCCUGCCCACAAAAUAUUGCUCCUAACUCCACCGCCUAUCCCCAAACCUAUAAGAACUAAUGAUAAUCCCACCACCCUUUGCUGACUCUCUUUUCUGACUCAGCCAGCCUGCACCCAAGUGAAAUAAACAGCCUUGUUGCUCACACAAAGCCUGUUUGGUGGACUCUCUUCACACGGAUGCACUUGAGAAAUUUGGUGCUAAAGACCCGGGUCAGAGGGACUCCUUCCGGAGACCAGUCCCCUGUCCUCACCCUCACUCCGUGAAGAGAUCCACCUAUGACCUUGGGUCCUCAGACCAACCAGCCCAAGGAACAUCUCACCAAUUUCAAAUUGGGUGAAUGAUGGGCUAUCUGAUGUUGUGAGAAGACAAGACUCAUACACAGAGAGAACAGAGAGAAGCUGCCAUUUCUGUUUUAGCCAAGCAGGCAAGUUCCCAUCAAAAUAAGAGGAACUCCAGAAAGUAAUGAUACAUACAGCCCAUUAUUAGGUGCAGAGCUGAGCCUUGCAUUCUUCAGUUACCUCCUCCGGUGGAGGGCAGUGGGAAGCACCUCCAUUUCUCCAUCUAGAAAUGAAAGCUACCACCAGAUCUUUUGCAGAAGAAUAUCUGCACACACAUGUUUUGGAGGGUCAGUUAAAAUUUUACCCACAUGACUGAAAAUGAAUUUUAAGUGUUCAGAAGCCAAUGGAAUAAGGAAUCUCCACAUCUGUACUCAGACCUAUUUUCUGGGAGUCUCUAGACUUCUCCAAGCUCAAAGGUGGGAUGCAGGAAGGAGGAGAGAAACAGAAUUCUUUCUGCAUCUGGGUUCCCACAGUAGCUGCCCUCACCCAUUGCCUGUUGUGCCUCACAUGUGCCAAGCUGAGUGGUGGUGCCCUCACCACGUGUGUCUCUGGUACCCAGAACAGAAAGUGAGACUCUUGUGCUAAGGAUGCUGGAGGAGGAUAUGAGGGCACAGGGGCAGCCAUGGAGGAGAGGCUCCUGCCCAACUCAGAUCUCUGCCCCACACUCUAUGGAGGACAAUUCCCUGCUGUCAGCAGCAGGACCCCUUCAGUAGGAGGGAGAAAGAAGGGGACAGGAACUACCACGUGUCCAGUGCAACCUGCUAGGGGCUGUACAUGUGAUGUCUCAAUGGAGCCUAACAACAUUAUGGGGAUAGGUCUUAACAGGCCCUUUUUAGAGAUAAGAAAAAUGAAAAAUAGGAAAGGAAGCACAUUGGCCUCAGGCAUUAAGGGAUGAGCCAAAGCUGUCAAUUCUGUGGGUGGUGGGGUGAGCUGGAGCCUCAGAACAAUAACCCCCGGGGGGUCAUUUAGGGUCAUGCACACUCAGCUAUUUCUGCUUCAAGAAGACUAAUUAGCAUUCUUUUACUGGAACUUGAGGAACAAAGGAGGUGGUUGAGAAGAACCAAAACAACCUUCUGAAUGAGUGAAAA